rnacentral:rRNA from 1 species
CGCAUCUGUGCAUGCAGCAUAUCAAUAAGCGGAGGAAAAGAAACUAACAAGGAUUCCCCUAGUAACGGCGAGUGAAGCGGGAAGAGCUCAAAUUUGAAAUCUUAAAGGGUUUCCCUUUACGAAUUGUAGUUUAAAGAAGUGUUUUCUGUUGAGGUUUUGGUAAAAGUUCUUUGGAAUAGGACAUCAUAGAGGGUGAGAAUCCCGUAUUUGACCUUUACUUUCAACUUUGUGAUACACUUUCAAAGAGUCGGAUUGUUUGGGAAUGCAGUCCAAAAUGGGUGGUAAAUUUCAUCUAAAGCUAAAUAUUGGCGAGAGACCGAUAGCGAACAAGUACCGUGAGGGAAAGAUGAAAAGAACUUUGAAAAGAGAGUUAAACAGUACGUGAAAUUGUCAAAAGGGAAGCGUUUGACACCAGUGUUGUUUUUCUGAAAAUCAAUUAAAGAACUGUUUAUGCUAAGUUGUUUAGACUUUAUCAGCUAACUGUUUAGUUUUGAGCUUUUCUUUAAUGCACUUUACAGUUAACAAGUCAACAUCAAUUUCUUUUGCUGUAAAAAAGCUUGAGGAAGGUGGCUUGAGAUUCGUCUUAAGUGUUUAUAGCCUCUUGCCUAUGCAGUCGGAGAGAUUGAGGUCUGCAGCGUAGAUCCUUCGGGGCUAAAUGCAUUUGUGCUAAGUUAUAACAUUUUAUAGACAACUUGUUGACUAUGAUUUGUCUUGUAGCUUACUCGCUUAUGUUAUUUUACCUACGCUUAGGAUGUUGACAGCAGUAUAGACUGU